rnacentral:snRNA from 1 species
GUGUUCACUUCGCCAGCGCAUAUACGACAGAGAAGAUUUUCAUGGCCCCUGCACAAGGAUGACAAGCAAAUUCGUUAAGUGUUCCAUAUUUUC